GAUGAACGCUGGCGGCGUGCUUAACACAUGCAAGUCGAACGGGACUUGUUAAGUUGAAACUUCGGUCGAUUCUUUUUCAAGUCUAGUGGCGGACGGGUGAGUAACGCGUGGGUAACCUGCCUCACACUGGGGGAUAACAGUCAGAAACGAUAGCUAAUACCGCAUGACAAUGGAGGACCCAUGUCUUUCAUUUAAAAGGUGCAACUGCAUCACUAUGAGAUGGACCUGCGUUGUAUUAGCUAGUUGGUGAGGUAACGGCUCACCAAGGCGACGAUACAUAGCCGACCUGAGAGGGUGAACGGCCACACGUGGGACUGAGACACGGCCCAG
rnacentral:rRNA from 1 species